rnacentral:misc_RNA from 1 species
AACUGAUACUACCUGCGGGAACCUGCGGAAGGAUCAUUACUGAAUAGCAAAACGGGAAAGACUGAUGCUGACUUUUUGUAUGUGCACGUCUUUUCUAAUGCAUUCAAAAUCUUCAUUUAUACACUAGUGCACAUUUGUAGACUUGAGGUAAUCAAGUCUAUGUUUGGUUUUAUAUAACACGCUUUUAAAAAAAGUUGUUGUUUUUGAUAAUGAAUUUUGAUACAACUUUCAACAACGGAU